UACAGAGGUCCCAAGCGUUGUUCGGAUUCAUUGGGCGUAAAGGGUGCGUAGGCGGCGCGGUAAGUCGGGUGUGAAAUCUCAGGGCUCAACCCUGAAACUGCAUUCGAUACUGCGCGGCUAGAGUGCUGGAGGGGAGACUGGAAUUUACGGUGUAGCAGUGAAAUGCGUAGAUAUCGUAAGGAAGACCAGUGGCGAAGGCGGGUUGCUGGGCCGACACUGACGCUGAGGCGCGAAAGCCAGGGGAGCGAACGGG
rnacentral:rRNA from 1 species